CUAGGGCACCUGAUCAGCCAUCCGCGUGAGUGAAGAAGGCUUCGGGUUGUAAAGCUCUUUCGCAAGGGAAGAAAACUUAUGAUCGAAUAAAUCAUGAGGUUGACGGUACCUUGAUAAGAAGCACCGGCUAACUACGUGCCAGCAGCCGCGGUAAUACGUAGGGUGCGAGCGUUAAUCGGAAUUACUGGGCGUAAAGCGUGCGCAGGCGGUUUUGUAAGUCGGAUGUGAAAUCCCCGGGCUCAACCUGGGAACUGCGUUCGAAACUGCAAGGCUAGAGUGUGUCAGAGGGGGGUAGAAUUCCACGUGUAGCAGUGAAAUGCGUAGAGAUGUGGAGGAAUACCAAUGGCGAAGGCAGCCCCCUGGGAUAACACUGACGCUCAUGCACGAAAGCGUGGGGAGCAAACAGGAUUAGAUACCCUGGUAGUCCACGCCCUAAACGAUGUCAACUAGUUGUUGGUAGAGUAAAAUCUAUGAGUAACGUAGCUAACGCGUGAAGUUGACCGCCUGGGGAGUACGGUCGCAAGAUUAAAACUCAAAGGAAUUGACGGGGGCCCGGACAAGCGGUGGAUUAUGUGGAUUCAUUCGAUGGCACGCGAAAA
rnacentral:rRNA from 1 species